rnacentral:rRNA from 1 species
UACGGAGGGGGCUAGCGUUGUUCGGAAUUACUGGGCGUAAAGCGCACGUAGGCGGCUUUGUAAGUUAGAGGUGAAAGCCCGGAGCUCAACUCCGGAAUUGCCUUUAAGACUGCAUCGCUUGAAUCAUGGAGAGGUGAGUGGAAUUCCGAGUGUAGAGGUGAAAUUCGUAGAUAUUCGGAAGAACACCAGUGGCGAAGGCGACUCACUGGACAUGUAUUGACGCUGAGGUGCGAAAGCGUGGGGAGCAAACAGA